rnacentral:piRNA from 1 species
UGGUGAACCCUUUAGACAUUGAA